UGAACGCUGGCGGCGUGCCUAAUACAUGCAAGUCGAGCGAACAGACGAGGAGCUUGCUCCUCUGACGUUAGCGGCGGACGGGUGAGUAACACGUGGAUAACCUACCUAUAAGACUGGGAUAACUUCGGGAAACCGGAGCUAAUACCGGAUAAUAUAUUGAACCGCAUGGUUCAAUAGUGAAAGACGGUUUUGCUGUCACUUAUAGAUGGAUCCGCGCCGCAUUAGCUAGUUGGUAAGGUAACGGCUUACCAAGGCAACGAUGCGUAGCCGACCUGAGAGGGUGAUCGGCCACACUGGAACUGAGACACGGUCCAGACUCCUACGGGAGGCAGCAGUAGGGAAUCUUCCGCAAAGGGCGAAAGCCUGACGGAGCAACGUCGCGUGAGUGAUGAAGGUCUUCGGAUCGUAAAACUCUGUUAUUAGGGAAGAACAAAUGUGUAAGUAACUAUGCACGUCUUGACGGUACCUAAUCAGAAAGCCACGGCUAACUACGUG
rnacentral:rRNA from 1 species